AUUGAACGCUGGCGGCAGGCCUAACACAUGCAAGUCGAGCGGAUGAAGGGAGCUUGCUCCUGGAUUCAGCGGCGGACGGGUGAGUAAAGCCUAGGAAUCUGCCUGGUAGUGGGGGAUAACGUCCGGAAACGGGCGCUAAUACCGCAUACGUCCUGAGGGUGAAAGUGGGGGAUCUUCGGACCUCACGCUAUCAGAUGAGCCUAGGUCGGAUUAGCUAGCUGGUGGGGUAAAGGCCUACCAAGUCGACGAUCCGUAACUGGUCUGAGAGGAUGAUCAGUCACACUGGAACUGGGACACGGUCCAUACGCCUACGGGAGGCAGCAGUGGGGAAUAUUGGACAGUGGGCGAAAGCCUGAUCCAGCCAUGCCGCGUGUGUGAAGAAGGUCUUCGGAUUGUAAAGCACUUUAAGUUGGGAGGAAGGGCAGUAAGUUAAUACCUUGCUGUUUUGACGUUACCAACAGAAUAAGCACCGGCUAACUUCGUG
rnacentral:rRNA from 1 species